GAUGAACGCUGGCGGCGUGCCUAAUACAUGCAAGUCGAGCGAACAGACGAGGAGCUUGCUCCUCUGACGUUAGCGGCGGACGGGUGAGUAACACGUGGAUAACCUACCUAUAAGACUGGGAUAACUUCGGGAAACCGGAGCUAAUACCGGAUAAUAUAUUUAACCGCAUGGUUCAAUAGUGAAAGACGGUUUUGCUGUCACUUAUAGAUGGAUCCGCGCCGCAUUAGCUAGUUGGUAAGGUAACGGCUUACCAAGGCAACGAUGCGUAGCCGACCUGAGAGGGUGAACGGCGACACUGGAACUGAGACACUGUCCGGACUCCUACGGGAGGCAGCAGUAGGGAAUCUUCCGCAAUGGGCGAAAGCCUGACGGAGCAACGCCGCGUGAGUGAUGAAGGUCUUCGGAUCGUAAAACUCUGUUAUUAGGGAAGAACAAAUGUGUAAGUAACUAUGCACGUCUUGACGGUACCUAAUCAGAAAGCCACGGCUAACUACGUG
rnacentral:rRNA from 1 species